AACCUUAUGGACCUGCGGGCGUAUACCUGCGAGGGAUCAUUAACCUUUCAAAUCAGGGUGCGGCGCGGCCCCCGAGGAGCGGAAACAAUCCUUGGGAGGUAUGCGGGGGCUUCGAGCCCCCCAUUUACGCACGCACGACUGCCAUCCUUACUUUACGAGCACCUUCUGUUCUCCCUCGGCGGGGCAACCUGCCGUUGGAACCGAAUAAACUCUUUUUGCAUCUAGCAUUACCUGUUCCGA
rnacentral:misc_RNA from 1 species